ACAGCACCUGUCCUACCUGUGACAAACUUUCCCUUGUUUUGUCCCUCCCUCCUUCACCUUUCUCCACACCACUCAGACAUGACGUGUGUGUGGGCGAUCUACCCAAAGGGAAUUUCCACAUCAAAGGGUGCGUGAGGUCUGGAUUCUGGAUCUUGUCAUUUCAGUUUUCUCUUGGAAUGAAUCCCUGAAGCAUCAGAGAAAUACGCUCUAUGAGAUUCUAAUGACAAACAGCGCGUUCCACCAUGUCCUGUGUGUGGAUAUGUUUGAAUCUUCUCUGCGCUGCUACCUACUUUCUACAAAGCAGUGCCUCGUCAGAAGGAGUGUUGGUGAACUGCUCCAAACAAGGGAAAGUUGAAGCUGGAAAACCUUUGACAAUUAAAUGUUCUGUACGUUAUAACAUUAAUAACCAGAAAAACUGUACAAUUAUAAAUGUAAAGCUGAACAGAAAUAAUGUAACAGAGGUCAUCCCUAAAGUUGAACAUCCUAAUUAUGUGUUGCUGAAUGUGUCAAAUGUCACCAAAUCAAAUAACUGGACAUUCGAAGUAUUCACAGACUGUGGUCUAGUCAAAUCAAAUACUGUUGAAGUCCCCAAUCCACCUGAUUUACCGGAAACCAGACAAAAUCAGCAUCCUGAAUCGCACAGCAAGGUCCCUGGUAUAUUGGGUGUUUGUGUUCCCGUCACUAUUGUCAUAUUCGUUUUGUUGCUGUUUGGCAUAAUUUUCCUCAAACACAUAAAGAGAAAAAAAGUUCAGGGAGCCUACACUCUUCAGGACUCUUCAUCGUCGCCUGACCAAGCUGACAUUUAACAAAUACGAUAUCAGCACGGCAUGUUAUGUAAAAGGAAAUGUCAUAUAUCAGAAUUUAUUUACCUUUUUUUAUUUGUAUAAGGUUCUUCUCUAGUAAUCUUUGAGGUCUUCAUACAGAUUGAGCCAUGUGAAAAUAUUUCACUUUCACUUUACAUGGAAACAGUUAUGGGGUGAUGGAAAAAUUAGAAGCAGUCAGCAACAAGCACUUCCUCACCUUUGACACCAACACACACACACACACACGCACACACACAAACACACAAACACACAGAAAAUGUUUAUAUUAUGCCAUCGAUCCCCAUCUUGACUGUGAGAGAGACGAGGUCCUUCUGCUGUGGACUUUUGAAUUUUGAAACAUGCACACCAUAUGCAUUCACAAAAAACCUAUGCAACCCACUAGAGGACAAAAAAAGCAUAAAAGGUCUCCUUUAAGGAAGAACCCUUUUGGAACCCUGAUUCCUAAGAGUGUAGUCCAUUGGGUUUAUGGGGGUUGAGAGCCCUUCAUGGUGCAGGCAAUAAAGAGGAAAAAAGAUGAACAUGUAUUUAUUCCUUUUAAAAUGUGACAAGAGUUCCAGACUAUAGGGAUAAGUGCAAAGUAUUAAUUAAGAACAUAAGAGGUGACUUUUGUUUUCAGAUUAUAAAAAGUAUGACAGCUGACAAAAAAUCAAAACAUGCUUUUAAUUGAUAUUUAUAUAUAUAGUUAUAUUUGCUAUUACUUUAAAAUGUUUUAUUUUAUCUGUUGUCUUAAAUUUCUUGUAUAUAAUAAUGAUAUGGAAUUAAUUUGCGUCUUUUCUUUUUGUAUUCGUGUUUUUACUUGUCCUUUUUGUGAAGCA